ACCAAGUCAUUGCAGGGGAGAGAGUCAAUGGCCAAGCCAGCCCAGGGGACACAGCCGAUUACUGAGUCCAGGAGAAAUAGUCGAUGACCUAGUCACCCUACGGCGGAGGGCUGAUAAAUGAUGACUGAGUCACUGCAGGGAGAAGAGCGGAUAACCAGGUCAGUCCUGCUGCCUGACAUCGUUCAAAGCCUGAAAACCAGCAUUCCAACGUCUGCGGCAAUAAGGCACAUUAGCCACACCCUUCAAGAGCCAAAGUGUCCUGGAUCCCUUCCCUAUGUUUCUCUUUGUUUCAACUGUGCACCAAAUGUGCUAAAAUCCAUUGCUUUUAAAUGAAUUCAAACAUCAUCACAGCACACUCUUCAGGAUGGAAUUCUGCAUCUACAACUUCUGCUCAGCCCCACAUACCAAAUACACACGUCUAUACAACUGGUCUCUCCGUGUUCUCUAUCAGCACAGAGCUCAACUCAGUGGGCGGGGGGCGGCGCGGGAUAUGCGGGAAACACAGCUACUAAGAGCUGGUUCAAGGCCAUUAAUUCACUUGUCAGCAAUUGAGCUUUUGGUUUAAUACCUUCCCCCCCGUUUUUUUCCACCUUCCUUUCCCCUUUCCUGUCGCCUGCAUUUAUUUGGCUAUGUAAACUCUUUUCCUGCAUUAUGUAAAUUUGUAAAUUGUGUUUCCUGCUUUCUUUUUUCUUUGCACUGACUCACACAUCCUUUUAUUAGCAUCCCUCGCAUAUCAACUUUCUAUUUUGCACUAUUUUCUGCCAAAGGCACAAAUCGCACGGCCCACACCUUUUCAGAGGGCAAGAAAAGUUGAGUGGUCUUUUUACUGAGGUUUUUGUGUACCAACUGCCCUCGAAGUACCUGUCUCUCAUUCUUAUCCUGAAAUGUGUAUGUCUGUGAUUAUGUAAGAAUAACGGGUCACCUCUUCAAAUAUAACUUACAGUUUGUUGACUCCAAAACUCAGGCAUUUAGCUCUCUUGCUGACGGACACUUGGUAGAUGUUUCCUCUAGUGUAAUAUAGCAAUAAACAUGCUUUCCAUUAACAAUAGAGGACCCCAAAAUUACUUAAAAAUCAAGCAAAUGUAUUACCUCACAUAACAAAACGUCUAGUAAUAAGGUGACUCCAGGAUAUACUGGUCUGCUCAAUUUUCUCCUAAUAGUACAUAUGUUUCAUUAAUUAUUAAGCUCAUGUGGAAUUUGCUUAUAAAUAUGGUUGGAUGUAAGAAGAUUUUUUCUUAAUUAUUCCAAAUAGACAGCUGAUGAUGACAGUCAUUUAUCAAAUAAACUAAUCUUAAUGUGUUUUGCCUUACUGAAUUCCACUGUUGGCUUGAUUACAUAUAUAUUUAAUAUAUAUUAUUUGUUACAUAGUUAAUAUUGACAUGUAUAUAUAUAUGCUUAGAUACUCAUACAUCUGUCAGCAGUAUCUUGUUUAAUAUAUCUCUCCACUUCUUCAGCUGUGGUAGUGUGAAAAUAGUACCUAUUUUAAUAAUUAAAAAUAUUAAAUAGUAUCUGCCUUAAUAAUAAUUAAAAUACAAUCUAAUUAACGGGAACUUUAAGUUUUGAUUUCUGGUAAAAUAUAUUUCUGUGUACACACAGACAUCACUGUACGAACACUGUUCUUUUUCAAAAAAGAUUAUUGGCCUAUGAAGAAUAGUUGGAUAGAUAUUGGCAUAUGAAGAUUAUUGGCAAAAAAUGAAUUGGCCCCUUUGGCAUAUGAACAAUAGUUAAUCCUUUCCUCUACUCCUCCCACUCUUUGGGAUUUUAUUGGCAUGCCUUCAAUUUGCGUAUUUGUCCUUUUAUAAAAUUAAAUAUUCAAAUCCUGGACAAUGGACUAUCUCUACAAACGCUCAGAGUUUUUAUUUUUGUACUUAGGAUUUUAUAGAUUUCUGCAUAUAUGUUCUCAAUCUUUCUUAUUCAAUUUAUUUCUAUGAAGUGAUCAUUAUCAGCAUUAUGAGGAGUUGGUAAUUUUCUUCAUUGUUUUCUAAGAAAUUAUUACCGUUGCAGAGAAGCAAAAAUACUGAUUUGUGUAAUUUAACUUGUAUUGAUGUUAUUUUAGUCUGUUAAGAUUGAUUUAAUUUCAGAUUGCUUUUACUUCUCUUCCAAGUAGACUGCAGAUAAAAGUAAUUUUGUCUCAUGUUCUCAUACUCAAAGAAAUUUUAUCAGGGACGCCUGGGUGGCUCAGUCGGUUAAGCAUCUGCCUUUGGCUCAGGUCAGGAUCCCAGGGUCCUGGGACCAGGCUCCGCAUCCGGCUCCCUGCCCAGCUCCCCUUGCUUGUGCUCUCUCUCUGACAAAUAAAUAAAUAAAAUCUUUGUAAAAAAAAAAAUAAAGAAAUUUUAUCAUCUUCAUUUGUUUUAUUAUCUAAAGUAAACAAAAAGAGUUUUAUAAUAGUGAUGAAAACUGAUGUCACCAUCCUGUACCCAAACAGAAUAGACACUUUCCAGAAUCACUAUUAGAGUUAAUUGUUAUUUUGGGUCAGUAGUAUUUACCAUGGAUAAGCAGUUUCUCCAUCUGUCUCACUUAGAUUUUUUUGUCUUUUUGUUUAAGUAGGCUCCACGUCCAAUGUGAAGUACAACAUGGGGCUUGAACUCACAACGGGAGAUCAAGUCCUAAGCGGAGAUCAAGAGUCAGAUGCUUAAUCGACUGAGCCACCCAGGCACCCCUAGAUUUUUUAUUGGUAAGGGCUGUGGUACUUACCAAAUCUCUACAUGACAUCUAUAGAUGUAAUUACAUGGAUAUGACUCACUUUUAAUUUUUAUUGUCACUCAUUAUAUUGAUAUAAUUCCUGAAGUUGAAACUUUUUUUCAUUUAUGAAAUUUUGAUUAUAUCAUUCUUUGGAGCUCUUACCCGUGUAAUGCCUGCCAACAUUUUAUAUGGAAUGUUUCACCUGUAUACAUAAAGAUAAU
rnacentral:lncRNA from 1 species